UGCGUAGGCGGCUUUUUAAGUUUGGUGUGAAAUCUCCCGGCUCAACUGGGAGGGUGCGCCGAAUACUGAGAAGCUAGAGUGCGGGAGAGGAAAGUGGAAUUCCUGGUGUAGCGGUGAAAUGCGUAGAUAUCAGGAGGAACACCGGUGGUGUAAACGGCUUUCUGGACCGUAACUGACGCUGAUGCACGAAAGCGUGGGUAGCAAACAGGAUUAGAUACCCUGGUAGUCCACGCCCUAAACGAUGCAUAUUUGGUGUGGGCCAUUCAUUUGGUCCGUGCCGGAGCUAACGCGUUAAAUAUGCCGCCUGGGGAGUACAGUCGCAAGGCUGAA
rnacentral:rRNA from 1 species